CGCGGCCGCAGAGUUUGAUCAUGGCUCAGGAUGAACGCUGGCGGCGUGUCUAAUACAUGCAAGUCGAGCGAACUGAUUAGAAGCUUGCUUCUAUGACGUUAGCGGCGGACGGGUGAGUAACACGUGGGCAACCUGCCUGUAAGACUGGGAUAACUUCGGGAAACCGAAGCUAAUACCGGAUAGGAUCUUCUCCUUCAUGGGAAAUGAUUGAAAGAUGGUUUCGGCUAUCACUUACAGAUGGGCCCGCGGUGCAUUAGCUAGUUGGUGAGGUAACGGCUCACCAAGGCAACGAUGCAUAGCCGACCUGAGAGGGUGAUCGGCCACACUGGGACUGAGACACGGCCCAGACUCCUACGGGAGGCAGCAGUAGGGAAUCUUCCGCAAUGGACGAAAGUCUGACGGAGCAACGCCGCGUGAGUGAUGGAGGCUUUCGGGUCGUAAAACUCUGUUGUUAGGGAAGAACAAGUACGAGAGUAACUGCUCGUACCUUGACGGUACCUAACCAGAAAGCCACGGCUAACUACGUGCCAGCAGCCGCGGUAAUACGUAGGUGGCAAGCGUUAUCCGGAAUUAUUGGGCGUAAAGCGCGCGCAGGCGGUUUCUUAAGUCUGGUG
rnacentral:rRNA from 1 species